rnacentral:tRNA from 1 species
GGCUGGAUAGCUCAGUUGGUAGAGCACCGGAACACCAAUCCGGAGGUCGCAGGUUCAAACCCCACUCCAGUCA